rnacentral:rRNA from 1 species
GUAGGUGGCAAGCGUUGUCCGGGAAUUAUUGGGGCGUAAAGCGCGCGCAGGCGGUUCUUUAAGUCUGAUGUGAAAGCCCCACGGGCUCAACCGUGGAGGGUCAUUGGAAACUGGAGAACUUGAGUACAGAAGAGGAAAGCGGAAUUCCACGUGUAGCGGUGAAAUGCGUAGAGAUGUGGAGGAACACCAGUGGCGAAGGCGGCUUUCUGGUCUGUAACUGACGCUGAGGCGCGAAAGCGUGGGGAGCAAACAGGAUUAGAUACCCUGGUAGUCCACGCCGUAAACGAUGAGUGCUAAGUGUUAGGGGGUUUCCGCCCCUUAGUGCUGCAGCUAACGCAUUAAGCACUCCGCCUGGGGAGUACGGCCGCAAAGGCUGA